rnacentral:lncRNA from 1 species
UUCAUCAAAUCCUUUGAAACACAGAUUAAUUACUCACUUGUUUGUCUAUGUUGUUGUAGUGUUUAUUGUUUACAAAAGUUCCUUAACAUCCUUUUCGAUCCAAAAAAAGCCUGUAUAGAAUCAAUAAAGUCAAGCACACCUUGGAAGAGGUACUAGAAAAGGUCCAUAUUUGUACUUUAAUAUUUAAAGACUUGGUUUUGGGAAAUCAUUGCUUCUAUCACAUUCGGUUAUCCUUAACCAGGCCCGUAGCCAGGAAUUUCCAAAGGGGGGUUGUUUGGCCUCAAAAACUCGACUUUAACAGUCACAAUUCGAACAGAACGUUGACUUUAACAGUCAUUAUUUGUUUUCAGGGGGGGGGGGUUCGUCUGAAAAGGUUAAGCAUACCCGUAGGACGAACCCCCCUGGCUAUGGGUAUGCUUAACCUUUUGUCAGGUAAAGAACGAUCAGAUAUAACAGUAUAAGGUGAAAGGCUUUGGGUUUUCUGUCAGAUUUCGAUAUGUUUAACAUUAAAUCAAAAGGUACCAUAAUCCUUAAAGAAUUGAAUGAUGAAGUUUUUUUGGGUUUUUUUUUUUGCAAUUUUAGGGACAAAACAAUUAUUUAUCCCUCAGUGAACUUCCUUACUUCUUUUUUAGCUCACCUGGCCCAAAGGGCCAAGUGAGCUUUUCUCAUCACUUGGCGUCCGUCGUCGUGGUCAUCGUGGGGUAUCUUGUUUAAAAAAUGUGUCCGGUGACCCCGCUUACCAACCAAGAUGACCGCCAUGACUAAAAAUAGAACAUAGGGG